GAAAUUUAAGUUAUGGCUAUAGAAAUAGAAAAAAAUGAACUCAAGGUACUAUUUUAGCAUGUUGACUACUUAAUUUCAUUGGUUGGAUUAAAAAGAGGGUGUUUUAUAGCUGGUAGAGUUAACUUCUUUAAUUAUAAAGAUGUCCUGAAUAUAUAACUUGAUAUAUCCUUUUGACAAUGUUACCUUUUCUCUUUAAUCUGUGCUAUGACUUUUCUUUGAGUCUAAUGAAUCUUGUAAUUCUUAAUUUGAGGUAAUGUUUCCCAGUAUAAUUCUAGUAAACACAUCUUGGCAGUAGUAAGCUUUAUUUUUUGAAAUUAUUGAAAGCACAUAUAUGAGAUGUAAUUCACUUUACAGUUUCAGCAUGCUACUAAGAAUUGAUAAUGAAUGUUCAAUUUAAAUGUUGGCUUUUACAGCAAAUCAGAGUUUUCCCAAGUGUGUUCUGUGGAACAUUAAUUCUGUGAGAUGUUUCUAGAAAAGAGAUCUGUGUUAAAAAAAAGUGCAGUAUACAUCUUUUUUAUUUUUGGUGGUUAGGUUCUAAAAUAAUUGUGGAAGGUAAAAAUUAUGUAUAUACAAAAUAGCCCUUGAAAAUUCCUUUGCUGCCCAUAAAAUAGCAUAAACAUAGUCUGCUACAAUCAUAUUUUUCUGCAGCAUUGUUUAAGAUUGCUUUUUCUUUAGUGUGUUAGGUGACACAAUUCAUUAGCAUUUAGGGGCUGUAUACAAUAAGAAACCUAUUUUUACAUAUUUUUAAACACCAGAAUCACACUCUUUGAGUUUACUGCAGCAACUUUUCCAAGUCAAUCUUGUUUUUCUCCAAGUCAGUCUUGUUUACUUUUAAUUUGCAAAAGUUUAAAUGCAUAUAAUUCUCCUCAUUGUCUACCUCCCCUUGUAUAACCAUGAUUAACAUAGUAUAGUUUAUGAGAAUUCCUGUAUAAAGAAAAUUAUUUAUUUGACCAUAGAAUCCUUUUCCGAGGCUGUUUAUUAUCUUACAGAGUAUCUUAGGGUAAUUUGGAACCAAACCUUUUUUUUUCUUCUUUUUUGUAUUGAGACUUUUUUGAGUUAGGGGACUACUUACCAACUAACAUUAGCAGUUUUUGUUGAGGACAAGUUUCAUUAAGGGGAAUAUAUAGGGGAAAGUUUGCUAGUACAAUGGAAUGUACACUUGGCUUUCUAUCUGCAGGUUUCACAUCUGCAGAUUGAACUACUGUGGAUUGAAAAUAUUCAGGCAGAAAAAUAAAUAACAGUACAACAAUAAAAAGUAAUACGAAAUUUAAAAAGACGGUAUAACUGAGGUAGGAGUUGGGCUAAUCCCCAGUUUUGGGGCUCACUUGUCCUGUAUCCUAACAACUAUUUACAUAGUAUUUACAUUAUAUUAGCCAUUGUAAGUAAUCUAGAGAUGAUUUAAAGUAUAUGGAAGGAUGUGUGUAAAUUGUAUGUGAAUACAAACAUUUUAUAUAAGGGACUUGAGUAUCUGUGGAUCUUGAUGGGGUAGGGGGUGUCCUGAAACCAAUCCCCCUUGGAUACUGAGGGAUGACUAUACACUUAAGCCACCAGACAUCUUGCAUAUCAUAGACAAUUGUUUGGGGUCCAUGAGCUUUAAUUACAAAAUGUAAUGCUGGGAGAACAUAGAGAAGAGUGAUUUUGUUUUUUAAAUGUAGACUUGAUUCUGUAGAAAUAUACUACAUUUGAUAAAUAUACUAAGUAUAUAGAUUAUUUCAUCCAAUAUAUUAGUAAUUUAGAUAGUGGAUAGCCACUUUCCUAUCUUUCUCUUAUCCAUAUGAAUGUAAUGGAUAUGUUGUUACAACUUAUGAUUUUCUAAACUAGCUGUGAUUUAUAAUGACAUCCUGAGAAAAGUCAGUGAAACUCAUUUCUAACGAAUACCAGAUUUCUUAAAAUAGUCAAGUAUUUUUCUUUUGUGUAUGAUGAGAUAUUAACUUGGUGUUAUUUCAUUUUUUUUUUUAAGGAGUCAUUCUACCCUGUUCUAUCUUUACUUAUGUGAAAAUGUUUAAACUAUGAGUUUUUUUCAUGUGCCUUCUUUUGGAGUAAUGUCAACUUUUAAAUACACAUGUUUAAAUAACUUAGAGUGUAAUAAAUUGUGUUUAAUAUAUACUGUAGAUAAUGAUGGUUAAAUGCUUUGUUAACACAUGUUCUUUUAAAUACAAGAUACUACUUUGUACUGA
rnacentral:lncRNA from 1 species